rnacentral:rRNA from 1 species
AUGGAGGGAGCGCACGGCCGAACGAACCCUACCCGGCUAGCCCCCAACCCGCAGCUCCCUCCUUCCCGCAGCCCCAGGAGCUCCGCCACCGCAUUCGACAAGAUCCACCACCUCCCCAAGGUCCUUAUCCACCCCAGGUCGCGAGGAAGCCGCGGAAGGAGGAGAUCAGCUGGGCGUCACCUGCCGGAGAAGGAGGAGAGGCGCGGAUGCCAGCCAAGGAGGCAGAUCGGCUUGCCUCUACUGCACCGUGAGCGUAGCCGCUGCCUCUGCACCCACCUUGCUCGGCCAUCAUGGGAGGAGGCUCACCAUUGA